ACAAUUUUUUUCUAAUCUGAUGGUGUAACUUGUGGUUCCAAGUAUAAAAUAAAUACAUGAAAUCAUUUGUGUAGCCAUGUUUGUAAAUAUUUCUAGCGCAUCAAUUUAAAUAUAAUUAAUGAAAGUAGAAACUCUAAAUAAAAAAUAUAGACAACUCAUUUUAGAAACAAGAAUUAAAACUGAAAAAACACUUAACUAGCUUCUAAAUCUUGGAGGUUUCUCAAAAAUUCCAACCUAAUAAAGUAAAUAACAAACAUAAAUUUCUUUUGCACCAUUAUUAUAUAAAUAAUUUAGUUAAAAAAAUAUAUUGAUUACAUAAUAUAGGAAAUAAUUAUUUUCACAAAGAUUAUUAUAAAACAAUACAAAACAUAUUAAUUAACUCUACUAAGAAGAAAUUAAUAAGAUAAAUUAUAUUAUUAAUAAGAAUUUUUUUUAAAAUUUGUCUCUGCUCGUGCUUCGAACAUGAAAAGGCUAGUAUCAACUUAUCAUAUAUGUUCAAUCAUCAACAUUCAAUCUCUAGCAUUCAUUAUCGUAACGUAUAUUUUAUGUGCACCGAGGAGCACAACUAAUCAUACGUAAUUUCUUUAAUAGCAUAUUUGACUUCUGCGAUGCAAAACACUCUUUGUUCACUCCUCAGAUCCUAUAAGUAAUAAAGCCUGGAGUAUAUGUUACACAUAUUCUCCAUAUUUUAUUUGUAAUUAUGAUAAGGAUGAGACAUAUUAGGCAAAUAUCUUGUCCGGGUCGACGAUGUCCGUUCUGGCAACAGGUUUUUGUCUGGCCUUAUUGACUUGUUUUUCCACUGCAUUAGGGUUCAGCUACAACCGCAGUGUCGCAUAUGUGGUGUCGCACAUGCAGAUUAAAUAUUUCGAGACCCAUGGACUUGCUUCGACUUGGUGUUAGGUUGCGAGAUAUCCCUUUAUGUCAUGCCUCGCUAGAUGAUAUGCAAAGUGAUGCGGAUUCAUCAAGUUAGUUCUUAUUGCAGCGUGGAUAUACAACUUCAAAUGUGGUUGCCUCUCUAGAUGUGAUUAUUAUUAAUUGCACAAAAGAGAUAGCCACAUUUGAAGUUGUAUAUCCACGCUGCAAUAGGAACUGACUUGAUGAAUCUGCAGCACAUUGCAUAUCUAGCGAGGCAUGACAUAAAGGGAUAUCUCGCAACCUAACGCCAAUUCGAAGCAAGUCCAUGGGUCUCGAAAUAUUCAUCUGCAUGUGGACCUACAAAAAAUGGCGAACUAGCAGAUAUCCUUCACGUACUACAGCACAUAAGCGACACUACAAUUGUAGGUGAACCCUAAUGCAGUGAAAAAACAAGGCAAUAAGGCUAGGCAAAAAACUGUUGCAGAACAGACAUCGUCGAUGCGGACAAGGUAUUUGCCUAAGAUGUCUCAUCCUUAUCAUAAUCACAAAUAAUAUAUGGAGAACGUAUGUGUAACAUAUACUCCAUUCUUUAGUAUUAAUAGAAUCUGAGAAAUGAACAAAGAGUUUCAUGCACCACAGAAGUCAAAUAUGCUAUUAAAGAAAUUAGGUAUAAUGAGUUGGCCCGCUCAGAGCAAAUAACAUAUACAUUACAAUAAUGAAUGCUAGAGAUUGAAUGUUAAUGAUUGAACAUAUAUGAUAAGAUGUUACUAGCUUUUUACCUUUUUGAAGCACUAGCCAAGAUAAAUUAAUUUAAAAUUAUUUUUUUAUUAAUAAUAAAAUUUAUCUUAUUAAUCUCAUAAUAGAGUUUAUUAAAAUAUUUUGUAUUGAUUCAUUAUAAUAUUUGUGAAAAUUAAUAUUUGCUAUAUCAUUUAAUCAAUACAUUUUUUUAACUUAAUUAUUUUAUAUAACGGUGUGAAAUAAAUUUACGUAUGUUAUUUACUUUAUUAGUAGGGAAUUUUUGAGAAACCACGGUGUGAAGAAAUGAGUUACAUAUACUUUUUACUAUUUGCAAUAAUGUUAUAAAACAUUACUAUGACGCGUCCUUGAAUGGUGACUUGGCUUGUAAAUAUUGAUACAUAAAUUGCAGAUUAAAGAGUGUGUGAAGCGUGGGAAGGGGAAGGACGCAACAACUAUGAAAAUAAGAGUGUCUGGAACUCCUACUUUGAUGUAUAGGUUGAACGUGUGGUUUAAUAAAACUCAUCUUAACCCUGACAGAAUUAUGUUGAAGAGUUCAAGAAACUCCAGAAGAAAAUGAUCUGGUCACAAAAUAUUUGGUUCCAGUUCUCUAGCUACUGAACGAGAUGGGGUCAUUGACAAAUGGACUAUACUUUAAUUCUGUGACCACACAACAAAUUAGAGCAUCUUCAUUAAACAAGAUGUAAAGAUUGCAACAAAAUGACAGAAACAAAAAAGUUGAUUUGUGCCAUAAUUCACACUGAAAACAAUGAAGACUUCCACAAACAACAAACUCAUAUAGCAUCCAACAAGUGUCACAUGAUUUAGAAAUUAUAUUGAACAAAUUUAACAUACAAGAAUCUUAGUAAAUAUCCAUUUUAGAGACUUGAAAUAUUGAUAAGUAACUCGUCCAAAGAUUAAGCGCGUAAAGACAAUAAUAAAAAUGAAAGAAAAACACUACUGAACAAAGAUAGUACACAGUGUGAUGGACUAGGAGGGCAAAAAGAUAUAUCACAUAAUUGAGACCCUGAUUUAAUGCUAUAUACGUAACUGCCAGGAGUUUCGGUUACGCGCGUAUAAACUGUAUGCCCAAAAAUAAGUAGGUUUAUGGACAAUUUAUAAAGGAUAAAAUAUUAAUAAUCUGGACAAUUUGAUUAGAUUGAAAUGAAUGGUGUCGAUCUUGGACUUCAAUAGUCUAACAUAAACGUUGACUCCAUACAAUUUUUCUCUAGUUUAUUAAUGUAAUUUUUUAAAGGGUGUUGGUGAUGAACAAUCGAUUAUUAGUUAUAUAUGUCCGACGGAAAAAAAAACGUCGGACGAGAGAAAUCCUAAAAUGAGUCAGGUUUCCGGUGGAUGAAACUGUAGCGCCCUUGGAUAUGCAUAAAAAAAUUAAGAUCAAGUCAUCCUGCGGUUUUUUUUCCGCUCAUAAUAUGCCCGAGAUACGAAUAUUUGGGAAGCAGACCCUUUUUUUAAUAUCUCCAUGAUAAAAAAAGAUUUAGGUUUUUAUUCAAUUUUAAUUUUCUUGUACAUUUAAGUUAUGUUGUCAAAUAGUUUAACAGAGAUUUUAGUUUAGUUCAAUAUUACUUUUCAAUUUGAUAUGGUAAAAAAAUUAUAUAUGUAACAUUUUUGUGAGUUGCUAUAUCCCAACCAACCAAUUAUACCCUAUUUAAGUUACAAUAACAUAAUAUAGAUAUAUGAUAAUAUUAAUUAUGUAAAAUUAAUAUUACAAAGACUUAUAAAAACAAAUUGACAAGAUCGAUACACGCGGAGCAAUAAGAUAUUAAAUAUAUUUGUGGAAGAAAAUACCCAAACUCGUUUCCAAGGGCCUUCAAAUUUCGCUCAUUCCCUUUUCGCUCGGUUUCAUUAUACAGUCUUGCAAAUAGAGUAUUACUCAGUCGCAAAUUGAUUUGAAUGAGUAUGUAUUGCAUAUUUAGUAACGGCAGUUUUUUUGGAGUGAUAUGCACGAGAUACAAUUCUGAUCUUGAGUAAUACGCACGUUGUAUAUACAUAAAUGGUUAUAUGUAUGCGGGACAAUCGACAAUAAUUCUUUUUUAAUAUUAAUAUUGAUUUGUCUAUUUUAAUUAUAGCCACACAAUUUUUUUCUAAUCUGAUGGUGUAACUUGUGGUUCCAAGUAGAAUCCAGCUCAAAAAUAAAUACAUGAAAUCAUUUGUGUAGCCAUAUUUGUAAAUAUUUCUAGCGCAUCAAUUUAAAUAUAAUUAAUGAAAGUAUAAACUUUAAAUAAAAAAAUAUAGACAACUCAUUUUAGAAACAAGAAUUAAAACUGAAAAAACACUCAACUUCUAAAUCUUGGAGGUUUCUCAAAAAUUCCAACCUAAUAAAGUAAAUAACAUACAUAAAUUUCUUUUGCCCCAUUAUAUAAAUAAUUAAGUUAAAAAAAUGUAUUGAUUACAUAAUAUAGGAAAUAGUAAUUUUAACAAAGAUUAUUAUAAAACAAUGCAUAUUAAUUAACUCUACUAAGAAGAAAUUAAUAAGAUAAAUAUUAUUAAUAAGAAAAUAAUUUUAAAAUUUGUCUCGGCUCGUGCUUCGAACAUGUAAAAACCUAGUAACAAGUUAUCAUAUAUGUUCUGUCAUCAACAUUCAAUCCCUAGCAUUCAUUAUCGUAACGUAUAUUUUAUGUGCACUGAGGAGCACAACUAAUCAUACGUAAUUUCUUUAAUAGCAUAUUUGACUUCUGCGAUGCAAAACACUCUUUGUUCACUCCUCAGAUCCUAUAAGUAAUAAAGACUGCAGUAUAUGUUACACAUAUUCUCCAUAUUUUAUUUGUAAUUAUGAUAAGGAUGAGACAUAUUAGGCAAAUAUCUUGUCCGAGUCGACGAUGUCCGUUCUGCAACAGGUUUUUGUCUGGCCUUGUUGCCUUGUUUUUUCACUGCAUUAGGUUCAUCAACAACCGCAGUGUCGCAUAUGUGGUGUAGUACGUGAAGGAUAUCUAUUGCUAGUUCGCCAUUUUUUGUAGGUCCACAUGCAGAUGAAUAUUUCGAGACCCGUGGACUUGCUUCGAAUUGGCGUUUGGUUGCGAGAUAUCCCUUUAUGUCAUGCCUCGCGAGAUGAUAUGCAAAGUGAUGCGGAUUCAUCAAGUGAGUUCUUACUGGAGCAUGGAUAUACAACUUCAAAUGUGGCUGCCUCUCUAGAUGUGAUUAUUAUUAAUUGCACAAAAGAGGCAGCCACAUUUGAAGUUGUAUAUCCAUGUUGCAAUAGGAACUGACUUGAUGAAUCUGCAGCACUUUGCAUAUCAUCUAGCGAGGCAUGACAUAAAGGGAUAUCUCGCAACCAAACGCCAAUUCAAAGCAAGUCCACAGGUCUCGAAAUAUUCAUCUGCAUGUGGACCUACAAAAAAUGGCGAAGAAGCAAUAGAUAUCCUUCACGUACUACACCACAUAUGUGACACUACAAUUGUAGGUGAACCCUAAUGCUAGUGAAAAAACAAGGCAAUAAGGCUAGGCAAAAACCUGUUGCAGAACAAACAUUGUCGAUGCGGACAAGGUAUUUGCCUAAGAUGUCUCAUCCUUAUCAAAAUCACAAAUAAAAUAUGGAGAACGUAUGUGUAACAUAUACUCCAGUCUUUAGUAUUAAUAGAAUCUGAGGAAUGAACAAAGAGUUUCCUGCACCACAGAAAUCAAAUAUGCUAUUAAAAAAAUUAGGUAUAAUUAAUUGGCCCGCUCAGAGCAAAUAACAUAUAUGUUAGUAUGUUACAAUAAUGAAUGCUAGAGAUUGAAUGUUAAUGAUAGAACAUAUAUGAUAAGAUGUUACUAGCUUUUUACCUUUUUGAAAAAACUAGACAAGAUAAAUUAAUUUAAAAUUAUUUUCUUAUUAAUACUACUCACAAAAAAAAAGCGUUAACUAAACCCACUAAAAUCAACAUAUGACCAAAGUAAUACUCGAUUUGCAAGACAGUAUAAUUGAACCAAGAGAGAAGGGUAGGGCUGUAAUUCGAGUCGAGCCGGGCGAGUUUCGAGCCGAGCCUAAUUCGAGCCAAGUUUAAUCGAGUCGAGCCGAGCCGGCUCGAUUAACUAAUCGAGCCUAAAUCUUUGCCCGAACUCGACUCGGUUAAUUUCACGAGUCGAGUCGAGCCGGCUCGUUUAGCUAAACGAGCCGGUUUUAACGAGUCGAGCGAGCGAGCUCGUAUAAUUUUAUACUUAAUCGAGCCCAAACCUCUACUCGAACUCGGCUCGUUUAAUUUCACGAGUCGAGUCGAGCCGGCUCGUUUAGCUAAACGAGCCGGUUUUAACGAGUCGAGCGAGCGAGCUCGUAUAAUUUUAUACUUAAUCGAGCCCAAACCUCUACUCGAACUCGGCUCGUUUAAUUUCACGAGUCGAGUCGAGCCGGCUCGUUUAAUUAAACGAGCCAAAACCUUUGCCCGAACCCGGCUCGUUUAACGAGUCGAGUCGAGCCGAGCCCUCUUAAACGAGUUCGAGCCGGGCGAGCUCGCGAGCCGCCCGACUCGAAUUACAGCUCUAGAGAAGGGCAUUGAGCGAAAUUUGCAGGCCCUUGGAAAUGAGUUUAGGUAUUUUCUUCCACAAAAUAUUUUUAGUAUCUUAUUGUUGUGCAUGUAACCGGUCUUGUCAAUUUAUUUUUAUAAAUCUUAUAUUUUUUAUAUUUAUGUGUUGUAAUGUUCUGCAAUUUGGUUUCUAUUAAUCUAACAUGGUGUUGUUCAUCAAGAAACUGUGAAUUAAGGUUAUAUUGUUUGAAAAUGAAAAGAAAUGUGUAGUUAUACUUGAUAGUAAAACAUGUUUGAAUAGACAUUUUAGCAGUAAACAAACCCUAAGAUCCUUAACCUGACAGGCUUCUUGUUUGUGUACUAUACAUGUUUUCAAGUAUCAUGCUGAGUAUGUCUGUUGAAAUGGAUUUCAAUUUGGUUAUUGUACUUCAGUUUUGAUUUGACUCAUUUUGUUUAUUUUUAAUAUUGAUUAGUAUAAAGUUAUUAUGAUCAUGUUGAUUUAAAAAAGACGAAAUCAUAAUGAUUAUUCACAUGAUGAGUGAGAAAGAUGAUAAUUUAGUUACUCAUAAUUUUUCUAUAAUUUUUCUAGAGGCAGUGGCAAAAAAGGCCAUGCAUCAUUAAAGAGGACAAUACGUGCAUCAAAGAACAAUUAACAAAAAUAUUUCUCGUGGAGGCACAUUGGAGGUGAAGGCCGUAAAUAAAGAGAUAACCAGGGGAGAAUAAGUAUAUCUUACUUGAGUUUUUAUUUUAUUUAUUGCCAAAAUAUUAUGCAUUUCAUUAAAAAGCCUUGAUCCAUGCUGGACAAACCCCAAAUCUCGUAAUAUGAUGAGGUUGACAAACAAAUAAAUGACCUAAAUAACUAGCCGUUUUGUUUCCAGAUCGCUUAAUAAAGAGAAUAAAAAUUAUUCUUUAAACUGAAAAAGAUUACAAUGACUUUCCAAAAAACCCAACCUACACCAUCUCUAAAAUCCGUAACAUCAUAAUUGACCUACACAAAAACAUUUUCAUGUAUAAUCUAGUGUUCAGAACUUUCAUUUGCAACAACUGAAAUUGGAGGGACACAUGCCCUCGUAAUAUGAACAAUCUUCCGCUGUGAAAGGUGAGUUUUUGCGAUUUUUACCACCGACCCAAUCUCGAUGUCGGUUUUCAAGAUCCCCGAAACAGCAAUUGAAUCAUUCUCAAUGACAAAAAUAAACAAAUCAAAAAUACCAAAAACAUACCAACCACGACAAACCCCCCCUCCAUAAGGACAAAAAAAACACGCGAAAAGAUUGGGUAGAACAGUAUUCCUUACACAAGAAAGAUAAUUAUUGAAGGAGAUAUAAAAGUUUUGAUUAUUAGAUUGGAGAAAAGAACAUGAAAGUGAAUUUUUAGGAAAGAAGAGGGCUUAAUUGAUGUAGAAAAAGGGUAAAUUUGAACUUUUUUGAGACGGCUAGCUAGGGUUUGGGGAUCGACACUCAUCGAAAGAGAGAGUUUUUGAGUUGAAUAGUAUUGAUCAAGUAAAGUUAGCUAGCAUUCAUUUUUUUAAAUGGCUAAGAAUGUUGAAUACAACUUUUGAUUUGUUUUUAAAACUGCAGUCCAGUAUGCAAAUAUAGUGGAAGACUGGACAUAGCUAAAGUAGAGCGAGUUGCGAAGAAACGAGUGAAAGUAGAGCAAGUUGCGAAGAAAUGAGUUCCAUAUACUUUUUACUAUUUGCAAUAAUGUUAUUCGACAUCACUAUGACGCGUCCUUGAAAGGUGACUUGGCUUCUAUAAAUUGAUACAUAAAUUGCAGACUGAAGAGUGUGUGACGCGUGGGAGGGGGAAGGACGCAGCAAUUAUAAAAAUAAGAGUGUCUGGAACUCCUACUUUGAUGUAUAGGUUGAACGUGUGGUUUAAUAAAACUCAUCUUAACCCUGACAGUAAUAUGUUGAAGAGUUCAAGAAACUCCAGAAGAAAAUGAUCUGGUCAUAAAAUAUUUGGUUCCAGUUCUCUAGCUACUGAACGAGAUGGGGUCAUUGACAAAAGGACUAUACUUUAAUUCUGAGACCACGCAACAAAUUAGAGCAACUUUCAUUAAACAAGAUAUAAGAUUGCAGCAAAAUGACAAAAACAAAAAAGUUGAUUUGUGCCAUAAUUCACAUUGAAAACAAUGAAACUUCCACAAACAACAAACUCAUAUAGCAUCGUUCAUUAAACAAGAUAUAAAGAUUGCAGCAAAAUGACACAAACAAAAAAGUUGAUUUGUGCCAUAAUUCACAUUGAAAACAAUGAAACUUCCACAAACAACAAACUCAUAUAGCAUCCAACAAGUGUCACAUAAUUCAGAAAAUAUAUUGAACAAAUUUAACAUACAAGAAUCUUAGUAAAUAUCCAUUUUAGAGAGACCUGAAAUUUCAAAUAGUAACUUGUCCAAAGAUUAUAAUUAAUCGAGUAAAGACAAUGAUAAAAAUGAAAGAAAAAAAACUGUUGAACAAAGAUAAUACACAGUGUGAUGGACUAGGAGGGCAAAAAGAUAUAUCACAUAAUUGAGACCCUGAUUUAAUUCUAUUUACGUAACAGGAUAAAAUAUUAAUAAUCUGGACAGUUGGAUUAGAUUGAAAUGAAUGGUGUCGAUCUUGGACUUCAAUACUCUAACAAAUACAUUGGCUCCAUACAAUUUUUCUCUAGUAUAUUAAUGUAUUUUUUAAAGGGUGUUGGUGAUGUACAAUCGAUUAUUAGUUAUAUAUGUCCAAUGGAAAAAAAAACUUCGAACGAGAGAAAUCCUAAAAUGAGUCAGGUUUCCGAUGGAUGACACUGUAGCGCCCUUGGAGAGACACAAAUUAGACAUUCAUGAUAGCCAUUGAAGAACUCUAAUUCUUGGGUUGUUUUCUCUCAUAUUUAUUAUAUAGUUUAUUUAUUUAUUAUAUUAAUUAGUUGAUAACCAUACAUCACCAAAUUCUUCUCCACACUUCUGAAUUGCAAGAGAUAAGAGACUUGAAAUUAGUAUUGAUAUCAAUCCUUCCCUGUGAACGAUACUCUUGAAAAUACUCGACAACAGACAUAAAAUCUUUGGUUCUUAAUAGUUUACAAGUGUUCUUUAAUUGAUCAUGGGAAUCAAAUUUAACAUACAAGAAUCUUAGUAAAUAUCCAUUUUAGAGAGACCUGAAAUUUCAAAUAGUAACUUGUCCAAAGAUUAUAAUUAAUCGAGUAAAGACAAUGAUAAAAAUGAAAGAAAAAAAACUGUUGAACAAAGAUAAUACACAGUGUGAUGGACUAGGAGGGCAAAAAGAUAUAUCACAUAAUUGAGACCCUGAUUUAAUUCUAUUUACGUAACAGGAUAAAAUAUUAAUAAUCUGGACAGUUGGAUUAGAUUGAAAUGAAUGGUGUCGAUCUUGGACUUCAAUACUCUAACAAAUACAUUGGCUCCAUACAAUUUUUCUCUAGUAUAUUAAUGUAUUUUUUAAAGGGUGUUGGUGAUGUACAAUCGAUUAUUAGUUAUAUAUGUCCAAUGGAAAAAAAAACUUCGAACGAGAGAAAUCCUAAAAUGAGUCAGGUUUCCGAUGGAUGACACUGUAGCGCCCUUGGAUAUGCAUAAAAAAUUAAGAUUAAGUCAUCCCGCGGUUUUUUUCCGCUGAUAAUAUGCCUGACAUACGAAUGUUAGGGACACAGACCCUUUUUUUAAUAUCUCCGUGAUAAAAAAGAUUUAGUUUUUUAUUCAAUUUUAAUUUUCUUGUACCUUUAAGUUAUGUUGUCAAAUAUUUUUACAGAGAUUUUAGUUUAGUUAAAUUUUACUUUUCAAUUUGAUAUAGUGAAAAAUUAUAUAUGUCACAUUAUUGUGAGUUGCUAUAUGUGAUAGAGCAUAUAUUUAUAUAUGUUUUUAUAUGAUUUUAUUCCCAUAAUUUUAGUAUUUUGUAAAUAAUCGGGAUGUUACUAAUUGAUUUUAAGUGUUUGCUGGCAGGAUAAUAAGUAUUCCUAAAGUUGGGUUAAAUCAAGCUUAUUUGGGCUUAAUCAGAUUGAAAUUUGUAUUGAUAUCAGUCCUUCCCUGCGAACGAUACUCUUGAAAAUACUCGACAACAAAUUGGCGCCGCUGCCGGGGAAGGCAGCAAUACUAAUUUUAGGUUAAUUGUUUCUUGUGGUUUAGAUUUUAUUGUUGUAUAUUAUUUUUUCCCCUUCUUUUGUUGUUUUUGGUGUGUCUACAGGUUCUUUUAGGUUGACACCAAAAAAAAAGUUGUGAGCUAAAGAGACGAUAUGAAUUACAAUUUUGGUUGGAAUAACGCUCAAAAUUUUCACAAUGAUCAAGAACGAUAUCUAGAUUAUAAUUCUUUUCAGAAUUUUAAUGCAUAUCAGGUGAACUCGUUUGAUUGUUGCAACUCAUAUUACCCUCCAUACCCACCUAACACUGAUUUUUCCUAUGCAUCUGAAAAUCAAUGUUAUGAUCCUUAUCCAUGUUAUGAUGUUGAUAAAAGCUUAAUUCAAUAUAAUCCUUCUUUAAUAUCUUUGGGACUUUUUGCACAUAUUGAUGAACCAAAAUUUGAAGUUGCUAAUAAGACUGACAUAAUUUGUCAAGAUUCGAUAAGUUGGUACGAGGAGAAUGCUAAAAGAAAUACUUUUAUUAUGGAUGUUCAACUUGUGAUGCAUGAUGGUUGUUUUAGGAUUCCUCCUUGUGUAGAUUUUCCACUUUGUCAUGAUACUUAUUUAGCAACUGAUGAAAAUUUAGUGUCUGAUGAAUCUACUUGCUUAGAUGAUAAUUGUUCCAUGCUUAAUACUGAUAAAUUGGAUGCAACUGAAAUUCUACCAGAUUUAGUAGAUAAUGUUGUGCUUAAUGAAUUGGUAGACGAGAUAAAAAUUGAUGAGUAUCCAAUUUUAAUUGAGAAGGAUGUGUUAAUUGAUGAUUUUGCUUUAGAAUAUAAGGAUCCAAUUUGGGUGGAGUUUAUGAGUCGUACUUAUGAUGAUUAUUCUGACGACUUUUCUAGUUACUUUGAUUUUUCGAGGUCUCUUGAGCAAGUGUGGUCCAUACAAAUUUUCCUAUAUGUUUGUGGACCAAAGAUAUAUUUGCACAUCAUAAUUAUAUUAUUGAUUCGUAGAUAUGUGCACUUAUUUGCUUUUUCACCUCAUUAGUUUUGUUACUUGUAUGUGAAUAAGUCGAGCUAAUGACAAUAAACAAGCGCUUCUUGGGAGGCAACCCAUGAUUAUAAUAUUAGGUAGAUUUUGAUUUGUUUUUACUCCCACAAGUUACCUUGAUGUGUUUGUUUGAAGUGGUUGUUACAGGUGCAAAAAUAAAAAAAUUCGCAGCAUUUUUCUGGUUGCAUCAGCUGCAUUGUUUUUGCGUUUCCCGGAGUUCCAACGGUCGGAUCGUCCUGAAUUUUGGGCAGCAUCUUCCUUACACGAAUAUCUAAAUUCUGAACGGUGGAGAUCGGAUUUUAAGGUCCAGAAGGUCAGUUUAUGAAGUCCGGGCAGAAUGAUUGGCACCAUGGGCAUGGUUAAGGUGCCCGCGGUGCAUCGACUUAAAAGCAACACACUUCGCUUAUUUUUCAAACGGCACUUCAUGCGUAUGCAUAGGGGAGUAUUCUUACUUUUCUUUUAUUUAUAGGAGGAGUAUUAGUGCGUCAUUGAGGACAUUGACUCAUUUAAGUGUGGGGAUGUGUUCUCAAUAGUGUGUUAUAUUGAUUAAAAAAACAAAAAAAAAUAAUAAAUUUAAAAAUCAAAAAUAAUUCUAGCCUUGUAAAAUAGUUAGAUGAUCAUAUCAUGCUAGGAUAAACACUCAUACAUUGCAUACAUUAGUUCAUAUAGUUGCAUAACAUGUUUCAUUGCAUAUCAUAACAUAGCAUGAUCCCAUGUAAUAGUCCAAGUUAGUAACCUAUGAUGAUACUAUGUGUAGCUUGUUUUUGAUUAAUUCUUGCUAUGAUCACAUAUUAGCGAUGUUACAUGCGUGGUGUCACUAGUACAGAGCUUAUUUAUUGACACAAGCUUAUUAUGCUCUUAAAUAUUGAAUUGAGACUUAGAUAUACCUGCUUCUUGAGGGAUAGCCGCUUGUUGAUGAUUAGAAUUUUGACUAUUCCCUUUUGAGCUUAGUACGUAAAUGCUUGAGUUUGGGAUGAUUGUGGGGUGUAAAUGUUUUCUUUGAAAAGAAAAAAAAAAGAAAAAAAGCAAAAUAAAGUAUCAAGUACUCCUUUGAGAUCAAUGGGUGGCGAAAAUGAAAGGGACGAACCAUGUACUUGUGCUGGUAUUAAGUGCAAUUGUACUAGAAAUAUAUUUUUCUUGGUGACUUUUCAUUAUUCUUGAUUACUGGAGAAUUACUUGACUUUAAAAAAAAAAGAAAAAAAAGAGCUUGUGAAGUCUGUUGGUGGUCGUAACUCACUUACCCUGAGGAGUGUCCCAAUCUUAGACCGAUCAUGUGGGAAAAAAAAGUAUUAUAUAUAGUAGUAUUAUAGAAAUAAAAAGAAGACGUGGAAAUCCCUUGUAAACUUGAAUGAUAGCUAGUGCUAAGUAACGAAGUGUUUAAGAUUUAUUCUAGUACUCAACUUGGGAGCUAUUAACUCGCAUGACUAGUCAUGUUGAAACUUGUGUGUCUCUGUUCUUGAUUCAAAGAAGAGCAUGUUGUUAAGCUAAGCACACACGCACACUCUGUACUUGUGUUCACUAAGUGGUUUUAUUGCGGUGUGAGCUUGAUGUGUCUAAACUUGUUGCAUAUUCUGAUGGUUAUCACUAACUUGGAAUAUACUAUUAUUAUUGGGAUCCAUACAUAUUCAUUUAUUAGUUGCAUUCAUGUAGUUUCACUCCAUGCUUGUGUUCUUGUGAUCAUCUAUAUUAUUAUUACAUGAGCUAGAUGGAUUUUGUGGGUACAUUCACUAUAGACCCUCACGAGACCUUACUCAUCCACUAGGGCUGCCUAGGGGUUUAAAGGGCUUGUUGCAUAUGCCAAAUGCAACCGUGAUCACCUACGGAAGUGGUAUAUUUAUUAGGUGUUAGUUAAGUUUAUUUUAUUUGCCCGAGGACGUGCAAAAUACUAAGUGUGGGGAUAUUUGAUAGAGCAUAUAUUUAUAUAUGUUUUUAUAUGAUUUUAUUCCCAUAAUUUUAGUAUUUUGUAAAUAAUCGGGAUGUUAGUAAUUGAUUUUAAGUGUUUAAUUUCAGGAAAAUAAAUAUUCCUAAAGUUGGAUUAAAUCAAGCUUAUUUGGGCUUAAUCAGAUGGAAAUUCGGACUUUAUGGAUAGCCAGCGAAGCAAAUCUUGUUUGGGCCGUAACUUGAGUUCUGGAUGUCAGAAUUGGGCGAUUUAACAGCCCACGCGAAGAUAUUGAAAUUCUCUACAAGUUUAAGGUGGUCCAGAUAUCAAAAGGCAACUGGAUCAGUCCAGAAUCAGGCCUGAACAGCAGCCUACGAAUUUGAGCAUCAGAAUCCAACCCGUUUUAGGAUAUUAUUUUAUUUUCUUGUAAAUUAAGAAAACUCUUAUAUAUAUUAGGGUUUGAUAGAGAUUAGAGACAACUAACUUGUAUCAUAUAGAAUAAUAUAGAGAUAGCCUUUUUAGAGAGAAAAGGGAGAGAAACACUUGUGAGAGAGAUUGGAAGAAGGAGUGAAGGGAUUCAUCCGGACGUCAAGCACUUUCGUCAAGUUGUAUUCUUCGUACUUAUAUUCUUACACUCAUGGUCUGUGGUAUAAAUACAUAUUUGUUUCAUCUUAUCAUGAGUAGCUAAUUCCUUAAUCCAAGAGUUAGGUAGUAUUCUUUGGCUUAUUAUGUUUGUUUAGUUGGAUUGUGUUUUCUCUUGAUUUGUUAAUCUGUCAUUGAGCGCUUUAUACAAUUACAGGAGUAGCUAACUUGUGAUUGAAUCUCUAGGAGUUAUAACGAAUCGGGAGAGGAGUUAUAAUUCUAGUACAUGAUAUGAUGGACACAAUUUGAGUAUUAGAUCGGGAGAUUGAUAUGAGAAUUGUGAGACAUAAAAUCCUUGGUUCUUAAUAGUUUACAAGUGUUCUUUGAUUGACCAUGGGAGUGGCUUUUAAUGGAUAAUUGUAGGCAUUAUAAUCUACCUUGGGAGAGGAGUUUAUAAAUAUUAGAAGGAUUGUUUUUAGCAAUCAAGAGACAUAAAUUAGACAUUCAUGAUAGCCAUUGAAGAACUCUAAUUCUUGGGUUGUUUUCUCUCAUAUUUAUUAUAUUUAUUUAUUUAUUAUAUUAAUUAGUUGAUAGAAAAAUCCCCUAAAUUCUUCUCCACACUUCUGAAUUACAAGAGAUAAAAGACUCGAAAUUUGUAUUGAUAUCAGUCCUUCCCUGCGAACGAUACUCUUGAAAAUACUCGACAACAAUAUGCCAACCAACCAGUUAUACCCUAUUUAAGUUACAAUAACAUAAUACAGAAUACCUCAGAAGGAACGAAAUGUGUUUCCAACCCAACUGCAACAAGUUCUUUGCGAUUAAACCUGUCCCCUGUUAAGGCUAAAUAUUCUCCUGCAUACAUUAUAUCCUACCAUCAGUUGUUUGACAGAACACAUUAACAUACAAGUCACUACUUCCAUGAACAUUUCCGGUUAUCUUCAGCAAGGAGCUAUGAGAACUUUUAAAAUGAAUUUUUUUUUUUUAACAUGAUAAAGUUUUGCUACCUGAACUAAAUGAAACUACACAUCCUUGCUGAUUUCUUACCCAGAUGCCCAGGAAGAUGAGAAAGCAUGUAAGACCACACUGUGUGGAACCCAAUACUUGUCUUUGGAUUUCCAAAAACCUGUGUGAAUAAUAAACCAUUUAAGACCCACACUCGUGUAUGAGAUAUGCAUGAAAAAAUCUGUAUUAUCUGGAAAACAUUAUUCAUUUCUAGCAUAAGUGUAUCAACAGUAAGUUAAAAUAAUAGAAGGAUCUUCACAUAAGAGGCAUCCAAAUCAGAUAAAGCAUUUAAAUAUCAACAACUUCUGAAUUUUUCGGCCUCCAAAACUAUCGAAAAUAUUAGUCAAGUAAAUGUAACAAAAAGGUCAAAAUGCAAGAAACAGUUGUUGGAGAACACUGACUGGAUUCAACUUACUAUUACAAUGAAAUUGUAAAUCAUGAUCAGGCCUUAGCUAAUGCUUCUUUAGGUAUUUUGCCCAGUGGCGGAAAGUUCUUAAUAUAGUUCACUGAUCAACAGAAUUUCUUAAUGUCUAUAAUAACCUUGCCGUUUCAUGUUUUAUUAGUUAGAACCUUCCAAACAGUGUCUUCAUUCUCAUCACAUCAGCUAGGAUAAAUAAUAUACUAGCGGAUGAUGCAUAAAUCUCAGGAGACAGUAAGUACCAGAUACAACUUUUUCCGUGACAACUGAGAACAUCAUAGGAACAAUGAAAGAUGCUCCUCCGCCCAUAGAAAUUCCAUUAACAAGAGCAACCUGCCAAAUACUCAUGUACUUAGAGAUCUGCCCGACAAGUACUAUCUGUAACAACGCAAAUGUGAAAUUGUUUUUGCCAUUCAAAUUCUUUUGUCUAUUGUUUUUCAGUAAUUUGAUUGAAAGAUGUGGUCCUUGACCAGUCUUUCAAUAGUUGUUUAACAUGUUUAAAGGAAAAAAAAUUCUCAUUUAUGAUUAGAUAUUUUCUAGAUCCUAAAAGUUUUUGAGAUUGUAUACUUUUAAAUUUUUGUCUGAGAUUUUCUUUAAAAUCUUUAGUAUAUUUUGGAGCAUCUCCAACAGCUUAGCUAUAUGGUGUCCUAAGCUAUUAUAAUAUUAAUAGGGAAUAUGAUACAAAACAUAACUCCAAUAGAGUCCUAGCAAUUCCUUAAAAAGUUAGGAUGCCAACUUUAUUCCUCAUUUUUAAGUAUUGUGAAACCAUUACUCAUACUAUUUUGAUGAAUAAAAUAUUCACUUCUCUCCUUUUUCCAACUCUUUCCUCCUUUCUCUCUCCUUAUUACAAGUUAAAUACAAUGUUAUAAUAAUAACAGGGAAUAUAAAUAAGGAACGCUGUUGGAGUUUCCAAUCAAUAAAAUGCAGUAAUUUCUUUAAAAAAUACAUAUUGUAUUAUAUAUUUUGGGAACCUGUUAGGAUUGGAGAUGCUCUAUAUAUGCUAGUCUAUGACACGUGCCAAGUACGGGAUAAUUCAUAAAUAUUUUAAAUAUUAAUAAUUCAAAACCAACAACUAUAAGUUUUCAAAAUUUAUCUCGAUUGAUAUUGCAAGAGUUGCAGUGUUAAUAUAGGUCGGAAGCUAUCACCGAUGAUUUCCACAGAAUUGGAAAAAAAUACUAAACAUGAUGCUUGAAAACAUGUUUAGUACACAUACAAGAAGCAUGUCAGGUUAAGGAUCUUAGAGUUUGUUUACUGCUAAGAUGUCUAUUCCGCCAUGUUCUACUAUCAAGUGUAACUACACAUUUGUUUUCAUUUUUAAACAAUAUAACCUAAAUUCACAAUUUCUUCAUGCACAACUCCAUGUAAGAUUAAUGGGAACCAAAUAGAAGAAAUUUACAACACAUAAAAUAACAAACCAAAAGACUUACAAAUACAAAUUGACAAUUAAGAUCGAUUACACGUGGAACAAUAAAAUAUUAAUAAUAUUUCUGGAAGAAAAUACCUAAACUCAUUUCCAAGGGCGUGCAAAUUUCUCUCAUUCCCUUCUCACUUGGUUUCAUUAUACAGUCUUGAAUAUAGAGUAUUACUCGGUCGCAAAUUGAUUUGAAUGGGUAUCUAUUGCAUAUUUAGUAACGGCAGUUUUUAUGGAGGGAUAUGCACGACAUACAAUUCUGAUCUUGGGUAAUACGCACGCCGUAUAUACAUAAAUAGUUAUAUAUAUGCCGGACAAUUGACAAUGUUUCUUUUUUAAUAUUAAUAUAUAUUUCUAUUUUAAUUACAGCCACGCGAUAUUAUUCUAAUCUCAUGGUCUAAGUAGUGGUUCCGAGUAGAAUCCAACGCAAAAAUAAAUACAUGAAAUCAUUUGUGCAGCCAUAUUUGUAUCUAUUUCUAGCGCAUCACAUUGAAUAUAAUUAAUGAAAGUAAAAUCUAUAAACAAAAAUAUAGACAACUCAUUUUAGAAACAAGAAUUAAAACUGAAAAAACACUUAACUUCUUAAUACUGGAAGUUUCUCAAAAAUUCUAACCUAAUAAAGUAAAUAAUAUAUAUAAAUUUUUUUUGCACCAUUAUAUAAAUGAUUAAGUUAAAAAUAUGUAUUUAUUAAAUAAUAUAGGAAAUAAUAAUUUUCACGAAGAUUAUCAUAAAACAAUACAAAACAUAUUAAUGAACUCUACUAAGAAGAAAUAAAUAAGAUAAAUUAUAUUAUUGAUAAGAAAAUAAUUUUAAGAUUUGUCUCGGCUCGUGCUUCGAACAUGUAAAAACCUAGUAACAAGUUAUCAUAUAUAUUCUAUCAUGGACAUUCAAUCUCUAGCAUUCAUUAUCGUAACGUAUAUGUUAUUUGCACCGAGCAGCACAACUAAUCAUACGUAAUUUCUUUAAUAGCAUAUUUGACUUGUGCGAUGCAAGAAACUCUUUUUCACUCCUCAGAUCCUAUAAAUGAUAAAGACCAGAGUAUAUGUUACACAUAUUCUCUAUAUUUUAUUUGUAGUUAUGAUAAGGAUGACACAUGUUAGGCAAAUACCUUGUCCGGGUCGACGAUGUCCGUCUGCAACAAAUUUUUGCCGGGCCUUGUUGCAUGAGGGUUCACCUACAACUGCAGUGUCGCAUAUGUGGAGUAGUACGUGAAAUAUCUAUUGCUAGUUCGCCAUUUUUUGCAGGUUCACAUGCAGAUGAAUAUUUCCAUACCCAUGGACUUGCUUCAAAUUGACGUUAGGUUGCGAGAUAUCGCUUUAUGUCAUGCCUCACUAGAUGAUAUGCAAAAUGAUGUGGAUUCAUCAAAUCAAUUCCUAUUGCAGCGUGGAUAUACGACUUCAAAUGUGGCUGCCUCUCUAGAUGUGAUUAUUAUUAAUUGCACAAGAGUGGCCGCCACAUUUGAAGUCGUAUAUCCACGCUGCAAUACAAACUGAAUUGAUGAAUCUAAAGAAUUUUGCAUAUCAUCUAGUGAGGCCUGACAUAAAGGGAUAUCUCGCAACCUAACGCCAAUCUGAAGCAAGUCCAUGGGUCUCGAAAUAUUCAUCUGCAUGUGAACCUAUGAAAACUGGUGAACAAGCAAUAAAUAUCCUUCACGUACUACACCACAUAUGCGACACUGCAGUUGUAGGUGAACCCUAAUUCAGUGCAAAAACAAGGCAAUAAGACCAGGCAAAAACCUGUUAUAGAAUGGACAUCGUCGAUCCUGACAAUGUAUUUGCCUUACAUGUCUCAUCCUUAUCAUAAUCACAAAUAAAAUAUGGAGAACAUAUGUGUAACAUAUACUCCAGUAUUUAGUAUUUAUAGAAUAUGAAGAGUGAACAAAGAGUUUUGCACCGCAAAAGUCAUGCUAUUAAAGAAAUUAGGUAUGAUUAGUUGGGCCGCUCAGUACAGAUAAUAUAUACGUUACAACAAUGAAUGCUAGAGAUUUAAUGUUAAUGACAGAACAUAUAUGAUAAUGUGUUACUGCCUUUUUGCCUUUUUGAAGCACGAGCCGAGAUAAAUUAUUUCAAAUUAUUUUCUUAUUAAUAGUAAUAUUGAUCUUAUAAUUUGAUAGUAUAGUUUAUUUAUAUAUUUUGUAUCGAUUCAUAAUAAUCUUUGUGAAAAUUAACGUUUGCUAUAUUAUUUAAUCAAUAGAUUUUUUAACUUAAUUUUUAUAUAAUGGUGUAAAAUAAAUUAAUGUAUAUUAUUUUACUUUAUUAGUUGGGAAUUCUUGAGAAACCUCGGUGUAUUUUUCAAUUUUAAUUCUUGUAUUUCAAAGUGAGUUGUCUAUAUUUUUAUUCACAGAUUUUACUUGUGUUAGUCAUAUUUAGUUCAAUAUACAAGAAACGUUGAGUUGGUUACUAUGAAGAUCCUGAUAUAGUGGAGUCCCGGGAGACCACAACUAUAAUAUCCCAAUAUUAUGUAUCUUAGUUAUAAAAAAUAAUAUUUAUUAUAUAAAUUAUGAGUUACAUUUUAUUAUAUUAUUACUAGCACCUAGCUAGAAAUUCGUUAGGGGUUUUUAACUUAUUAAUAGGAAGAAAAUGAUAAAGAUAAGAUAGUUGGUUUAAGUGAUAUCUACUACAACUCCAUUCAAAUGAAUAUCCUAUUAUACUUAUAUAUAUAAUACCUCGUAUAGUCACUUAAGUGUAUAGGAGGCACAAUCGACGAGGUAGCCACGCAUGUGUGAAUUCAGUUAUCCAUCUAUGUACUUCCAGUUGUUAGAUAUCUAUACUAAUAUUAUACUUUAAAAUUAUGUGUGAGCAGGAGCCGGUUAGCAAAUUCUCAACGUCCAUUUGUGCACAACCUCACGUACUAGUUUGAGUUUAAAUCAACGUAAUAUCAUAUGCUUUUUUUAUUCUCAUUCAUCUAUAUAAUGAAUCGUUUAGAUUUAAUUUCGAUUAAAAUAUUAAUUGUGGUAUGAGAAUAUGUGCCUCUUAAUUGCUUAUGUCAUAUAAAGAUUGCAUGAGGCAUGGGAAGGGGAAGGACGAAGAAACUAUGAAAAUAAAAGUGUCGGGAACACCUACUUUGAUGUAUGGGUUCAACGUAUGAUUUAAUACAACUCAUCUUAACCCUGACAGAAAUAUGUUGAUGAGUUCAAGAAACUCCAGAACAAAAUGAUCUGUUCAUUAAAUAUUUGGUCCGGUUCUCUAGCUACUGAAUGGAAAGGGGUCUUUGACAAAAGGACUAUAUUUUAAUUCUGAGACUACACAAGAAAUUAGAGCAUCUUUCAUUAAACAAGAUAUAAGAUUGCAGCAAAAUGACAGAAACAAAAAAGCUGCCAUAAUUCACAUUGAAAACAAUGAAGACUUUCACAAACAACAAACUCAUAUAGCAUCCAACAAGUGUGACAUAAUUCAGAAAUUAUAUUGAACAAAUUUAACAUACAAGAAUCUUAGUAAAUAUCCAUUUUAGAGACUUGAAUUAUUGAAUAGUAACUCGUCGAAAAAUUAUAAUUACGCGAGUAAAGACAAUGAUAAUGAAAGAAAAACACUGCCGAACAAAGAUAAUACACGGUGUGAUCGACUAGGAGGGCAAAAAGAUAUAUUCACAUAAUUGGGACCUUGAUUUAAUGCUAUAUACGUGACUGCCAGGAGUUUUGAUAACUCGCAUAUAAACUGUAUGCACAAAAUUAAGUAGGUGUAUAGACAAUUUAUAAAAGAUAAAAUAUUAAUAAUCUGGACUGUUAGAUUAGAUUGAAAUGAAUGCUGUCGAUCUUGGACUUCAAUACUCCAACAAAUAUGUGGACUCCAUACAAUUUUUCUCAAGUGUAUUAAUGUAAUUUUUUUAAGGGUGUUGGUGAUGAACAAUCGAUUAUUAGUUAUAUAUGUCAAACGAAAAAAACGUCAGACGAGAGAAAUCCUAAAAUGAGUCUGGUUUCCGCUAGAUGGCACUGUAGCUCCCUUGGAUAUGCCUAAAAAAUUUAAGAUUAAGUCAUCCCACGGUUUUUUCAACUGAUAAUAUGCCUCGACAUACGAAUGUUAGGGACGCGGAUCCUUUUUUUAAUAUCUCCAUGAUAAAAAAGAUUUAGGCUUUAUUCAAUUUUCUUGUACAAAUAAGGUAUGUUGUCAAAUAUUUUUACAGAGAUUUUAGUUUAGUUCAAUUGUACUUUUUAAUUUGUUAUUAUAAAAACAUUAUAUAUGUCACAUUUUUGUGAGUUGCUAUAUCUCAACCAACCAAUUAUACCCUAUUUAAGUUACAAUAACAUAAUAUAGAUAUAUAAUAAUAUUAAUUAUGAACAUUAAUAUUACAAAGACUUAUAAAAGCAAAUUGACAAGAUCGAUUACACGCGGAACAAUAAGAUAUUAAAAAUAUGUGGAAGAAAAUACCUAAACUCAUUUCCAAGGGCGUGCAAAUUUCGCUCAUUCCCUUCUCGCUAGGUUUCAUUAUACAGUCUUGCAUAUAGAGUAUUACUCGGUCGCAAAUUGAUUUGAAUGGAUAUGUAUUGCAUAUAUAGUAACGGCAGUUUUUUUUGAGUGAUGCACAAUAUACAAUUGUGAUCUUGAGUAAUACGCACAGUGCAUAUACAUAAAUGGCUAUAAGUAUGAGCGACAAUCAACAACAAUUCUUUUUUAAAAUUAAUAUAGAUUUGUUUUAAUUAUAGCCACACGAUCUUAUUCUAAACUGAUGGUGUAAGUUGUGCUUCCCAGACACACUAAUAUAUCAAGGCCUUCGUAGAAUCCAACUCAAAAAUAAGUACAUAAAAUCAUUUGUGCAGACAUGUUUGUAAAUAUUUAUGGUGCAUCAAACUAAAUAUAAAUAAUGAAAGUAAAAUCUCUAAAUAAAAAUAUAGACAACUCAUUUUAGAAAACAAGAAUUAAAACUGGAAAAAAACACUUAACUUCUUAAUCUUGGAGGUUUCUAAAAAAUUCCAACCUAAUAAAGUAAAUAACAUACAUAAAUUUAUUUUGCACCAUUAUACAAAAUGAUUAAGCGAAAAAUGUAUUCAUUAAAUAAUAUAAGAACAAUACAAAGCAUAUUUAUUAACUCUAUUAAGUAAAAAUUAAUAAGAUAAAUUAUAUUAUUAAUUUUAAAAUAAUUUGUCUAAGCUCGUGCUUCAAACAUGUAAAAAGCUAGUUACAAGUUAUCAUUUAUGUUCUAUCAUCAACAUUCAAUCUCUAGCAUUGAUUAUCGUAACGUAUAUAUUAUGUGCACCGCGCGGCCCAACUAAUCAUACGUAAUUUCAUUAAUAGCAUAUUUGACUUCUGCGAUGCAAGAAACUCUGUGUUCACUUCUCAAAUCCUAUAAGUAAUAAAGACUGGAAUAUAUGAUACACAUAUAUUCUCCAUAUUUUAUUUGUGAUUAUGAUAAGGAUGAGACAUGUUAGGCAAAUUACCUUGUUCGGAUCGACCAUGUCCGUUCGGCAAUAUGUAGGUUUUUGCCUGCCCUGGUUUUUUUACUACAUUAGGGUUCACCAACAACUGCAGUGUCGCUUAUGUGGUGUAGUAUGUGAGAGAAAUCUAUUGCUAGUUCGCCAUUUUUUGUGGAUUCACAUGCAGAUGAAUAUUUCGAGACUCGUGGACUUGCUUCG
rnacentral:lncRNA from 1 species